rnacentral:rRNA from 1 species
AUUGAACGCUGGCGGCAUGCCUAACACAUGCAAGUCGAGCGAGCGGCGGACGGGUGAGUAAUGUAUGGGGACUGCCCGAUAGAGGGGGAUAACUACUGGAAACGGUAGCUAAUACCGCAUACUAUCGGAUAACCCAUAUGGGAUUAGCUAUUAGGCUAGGUAAUGGCUCACCUAGACGACGCUCCCUAGCUGGUCUGAGAGGCUGAUCAGCCACACUGGGACUAGGACACGGCCCAACCUCCUACGGAGGCAGCAGUGGGGAAUAUUGCCCAAUGAGCGAAGUCCUGAUGCAGCAAGGCCGCGGGUAUAAAGAAGGCCCUGGGGUUGUAAAGUACUUUCAGUCGGGAGGCGUUACCGACAGAAGAAGCACCGGCUAACUCCGUGCCAGCCGCCGCGGUAAUAC